AUUCUGAAAUCAGCUUUAGGUUAUUUGGGUGUUAAAUAUAACCCAACCAAGUAUUUAACUGUACUGAGCAAAGGCUGUUUUCAAAAGGUACAAGGCUGAGGCAUCUAAUCCUUUAUCAGAGGGACAGAUACUUACUUCCUAGAAGUUCAUGUUAGUGUAAAUUGCUCUAAACCAGACACCCAAAAUGUUUGUUGUAGGGCAGCAAUAGACAAGUACUGUAAGAGCUGCUUUAACCACUAUUUGGUGCAAGUCAGUAGUUUUUCAGACUAUAUAUUACCAACUAAUAUGUUAAUGCUAAGCAUUAUUUUUGAAAUACAGUUUUCUCCCAAGGCUCUACAUCAAAUCCAGAAGCAGUUUACUAAAGGUAAAAUGGAUCAAUGCUUCAUCAUGUGUGUUAAAUGUAUAUGUGUGUUGGCACUUGGGGAAGAGGGAACAGAGGUGACAAACUGUUCAGUACCUGUUGUGUUAUUCUCAUCUCUUUAGAUAUGCCUAAGGUGUCAGUUUAUUCAGGAAAAACCAACAGGGAGCAUCUGAUUCAUUUGUUUUUAAUGAUUUCUUUGGCUACUGAGUGAAGAGAGGCUUCCAAGUGAUUAUUCUCCCUAGAGGAAAGAAGUUGUAGGAAGACCAACUUUCAACUUCCAAACUGUGCAGCUGUUGCAGAAAAUGGAGACUAUUUUUUUCCCCUCUGGCUAACGAAGAGAUUCUUGUAGGGAGCCAAGAGGUCACCUCAGUUUUAUGUUGUAGUUCUUUUAAAAGGCAAGUUCCAUUUUGAUAUCUCCUGAUCUUAUUUUCGUCUUUGAAAUUCAUUGUAUGGCCAAAAUCGAGAUGGGAUUUUUCAGUGUAACAUACCUGCUGAAGAACUACCAAAUGGCUCAUAAACAUACAAUGUGGGUUGGGCAUAUGCUCUUUCUUUUCCUUGUUCCUGGCGUAAUUGCUUUUGAGGAGCAAGAGUUGAGCUGUUAAGCAUCAUUCUGACCCUUUCAUUUUCAUAGUAAGAAGAAAGGAAUUGCUGCACCACAACAGAGAAGAAACAAGAUGGUCAGGGGAGCCACAGGAACAAGGGAUAUUGGAAGGCAAGCAGGUGCCCAUAUGUGCCAGUGCAAGAAUUUUCUGAAACCUUCCAAAUGCUUCAGAUACCCCCAGGAAUGUUUUACAGUGGCUGGCAACAACCCCUUCCUGCCACUUGCUUGUGAAAUCAGGAGAUCACACAGUUCGUUUUCCUCUGUCUGAACGCUCAGCUGAGGACACCCCCCUCUCAGGAGCACGGAAGACAGAAAAGUGAUGCUGUUUCUGAAAACCUGACAAGUUCUGAAGCUUAUUGAAACUCCAGUGGUUCUGCACAGCUUUGACAGCCACUGCAGGGCUGCUCACAAAUGCUUCAAAUGCAAAAGGAUUACCAAUGCAUUCUGUGAAGAGAAUGUCUUAGUGUCUGUUGCAUCUCCCUCUAAAAAACAUUCAGGAAAGACAUGGAUCAAGUAGAAGAGCUUUCCGCAAACAGAAGGAAGAGCUUCCUCUUGGUUGACAAGAAAAAGAGUAAUGGCUGUAGAACCAUGGUGGGAUUUUUAUGCAUAUUCCCUGUGGUGGCUUUGCUGGCUAUUGUGGGAGAUCCAGCUGGAGCUGCACUUCAGGAAAGUCAGGAAGAUGCCACAUCACCUGGGCUUCAUGGAGUGAGUGCCUCUGCUUUGCACAGUCCAGCUUUCCCUCCUCGGCCUCCAGCAAGGAGAAAACGAUACACAAUCACCCCAGGACGCUUGAAAUGGGACCACUUCAACUUGACAUACAAAAUCCUGUCCUUCCCCAGAAACCUCAUAAACGCCAGGGACACGCGCAGGGGGCUGGCGGCUGCCUUCCGAAUGUGGAGUGAAGUUUCACCCUUCAGCUUCAGAGAAGUGCCACGCCACAUGGAAAGUGACUUGAAAAUAGGUUUCUACUCUAUCAACCACACAGACUGUCUGGAGUCUCUCAUUCACCAUUGCUUUGAUGGAACAACAGGGGAGCUUGCCCAUGCCUUCUUCCCACCCAACGGAGAAAUCCACUUUGAUGACCACGAAUACUGGAUAUUGGGGAACACCCGCUUCAGCUGGAAAAAAGGUGUUUGGCUUACAGAUCUGGUGCACGUAGCAGCACAUGAAAUAGGACAUGCCUUGGGGCUCAUGCACUCCCUGAACCCCAAUGCCCUCAUGCACAUCAACGCCACGUUGACUGGGAAAAAGACCAUCUCUCAGGAUGAAGUCUGGGGAAUUCACAGGCUUUACGGAUGUAAAGACAGGUUAUUUAUGUGCCCAUCAUGGGCACAAAAAGGAUUCUGUGAGAAGCGCAGGAAGUUGAUGAAAAAGCACUGUCCAUCUACUUGUGACUUCUGCUAUGAAUUCCCAUUUCCAACUGUCCCUCCCACUCUGCCCCCACCAAGGACAAAAACCAAGACUGUUUCUGAAGGCAGGAAUGUCACCUUCCGCUGCGGACAGAAGAUCAUUCAUAAAAAAGGCAAAGUUUAGUAAGUACUCUAUCAUUUCCUCUAGUCCUUUAGGAAGCUUUGCAGCUUACGUACCAAAAAUGAUGAGGAAGAAUGGCAAAACCAAGUAAAUAAGAACACAGUUUAUCUUCUGGAGCAUGUCACUGGCAUCUGGCACCAGAGUAGAGAGGAUCACUGUGAGAAGGGAGCCUGCAAAUACCAUCACAGUGUUGCAAAGCAUUAAGUCUGAAAGCAAAGCUGAGUUCAAAAGGGAUAAAAUCCAAUUCACCUAUAGCACAAAGCUGGUAUAAAGAUAAGGAGCUUCUGGAAUACUCAUAUCCAGGUUACUUAUCCUUAAAUGAAGAUCACAUGAGCAUCAUUGCAAAUGCAAUUAAUGAAGGAACUUACACUUGUAUAGUGAAGAAAAAAGAAAGAAUCUUGACUACUUAUUCCUGGAGGAUCAGACUGAAGCACUAACCCUGGCCCUGGACUGUAGAGCUUCAAUUCUGCUCCUUCUGUUUCAAAUUCAAAACGUUUCUUUGGCAUUUUAUAUUUAAUCUCCAGUUGUGCAACUGAACUUCUACAUCAGCUGCUUCCACCCCUUGGGCAACAGAGACUCUGAGACUGAAGUACUGGAAUGUAAAACUUUCCCAAAUUACUUUUAAUGAUAAAGAAUUUAUCAAGUAUGUGCUGUACAGAGAAUUAAAAGAGUUGGUUUUUA